GCCGUUGCUGCAGGCGGCUGUUUAAGACCUCCCCCACCAGUGACUCCGCCAAGGGCAAGCCCCCCAGAGGGAGGUUCUUUAAACGGAAACACCGCGUUGAGCCUACUCCAGCACCACCUCCAACUCCCACAGGGGGCUCCCCGGCAGUAUCCAGAGUCACCAUCGAUGAGGAGGUGCCCCAGGUUGGGACUGGGGCUGACUCUUUGGGGAAGAUCUGACAACUGGAGUGGAGAAAAUGGAAAGAGCUGAGGUCAUCCUCUGCUGGGCUGAAUUCUUGACGUCCGUUAUUGACGGUAUUAAGGAUGCCAAGUCCUGUGAAAGUGAGAUGCUGUCGUAUGAAAAAGACAAGGCUGUGGACGCCGUACUGGAGAGUGAGAUGUGGCAGAGAAUGGAAGAGGAUGACC